rnacentral:rRNA from 1 species
UAGGGAAUCUUCGGCAAUGGACGGAAGUCUGACCGAGCAACGCCGCGUGAGUGAAGAAGGUUUUCGGAUCGUAAAGCUCUGUUGUAAGAGAAGAACGAGUGUGAGAGUGGAAAGUUCACACUGUGACGGUAUCUUACCAGAAAGGGACGGCUAACUACGUGCCAGCAGCCGCGGUAAUACGUAGGUCCCGAGCGUUGUCCGGAUUUAUUGGGCGUAAAGCGAGCGCAGGCGGUUAGAUAAGUCUGAAGUUAAAGGCUGUGGCUUAACCAUAGUAGGCUUUGGAAACUGUUUAACUUGAGUGCAAGAGGGGAGAGUGGAAUUCCAUGUGUAGCGGUGAAAUGCGUAGAUAUAUGGAGGAACACCGGUGGCGAAAGCGGCUCUCUGGCUUGUAACUGACGCUGAGGCUCGAAAGCGUGGGGAGCAAACAGGAUUAGAUACCCUGGUAGUCCACGCUGUAAAACGAUGAGUGCUAGGUGUUAGACCCUUUCCGGGGUUUAGUGCCGUAGCUAAACGCAUUAAGCACUCCGCCUGGGGAGUACGACCGCAAGGUUG